UUAUGAAGCUUUGGCUAGUGAUGUUACUGACAUUAGAGAUGCUGCCGUUUCCGAGAUCGCCAAGCUGUCUCUUCUCUCCUUCAAUCCUCACCCGCUUCCCGUUCAAUUUACACCAGACACAAGCCAUGGGUUUGAAGAGUCCCAUGCUAAAAGAGGAAAGCAAAAGGUCUAGCCAAUAACAGGAAAUCUUGUUUUUCUUUUGAGCAUGUUGAAACUUGUUGCGCCUACUCAGAGUUUAACAGGAGGCUGCAACGGAUUAGAACUUUACAUCAUCUGUUACACUGAUAUAAGAGAUCAGUCACGUAACACUCCCAUUUUCCAGUCCAUUUUCUUCUAUAACAAUCAAUAUUAUAUGCUGAAAGUGAUUGUAUAAAUCUUUCUUUCAAAAUAAGUACUGCAUACGUACAUGUAAAUGCCUUUGGACGUUGAACUUGAACUCUUCUUUGUAAUGGUCAGAAAAGUAAACAGUAUCAUCACUUGAUUCUCCAGACUUGUAAAAUUAUAAAUGAAAAGAUGAACGAAAUUCAUAUUCAU
rnacentral:misc_RNA from 1 species